AGGGAUUUGUUAAAGAUUUGCAAGUUGAAACCGAAAUAGAAAUCCUCGUGAGGAUGUAGAUAACGGUAGGGAAUGUUCUGGUCUCCGGAUUGGCAAUGGACGGUCAAGUUAUUGACAGCGUCGUUGAGAUCGUCCACGAUGUGAACCUCAUAUCUUGCUGUAAGAGCUGCUUCUGAAGCAGAGCAAGCAAGGUAAAUGGUGAGGACGAGGAAGGCAACUAGGGUUCUCAUCAUAGUGUGUGAACUUGGUUGCAAGUGUGGUGGUUGUGGUGUGUUUCAAUUUGUGUGUUUCAUG
rnacentral:lncRNA from 1 species